GCGUACGAGGAAUUUUGGGGCAGGCUGGGGGUGUCUUGAAGGUUAGGUAUGAACUGCUCACCAAGGACCGGGGCUGAAAGGGGCGUACGAGGAAUUUUGGGGCAGGCUGGAGAUGUCUGGAAGGUUAGGUAUGAACUGCUCACCAGGAACCAGGGCUGAAAGGGGCGAACGAGGAUUUUUGGGGCAGGCUGGGGAUGUCUGGAAGGUUAGGAUAGGCUGUAGGGAAGGUUCAGGGGUGUGGGCAGGCUGUGAGAGGUGUGGGUAGGCUGCAGGAGAAGGUUUAGGGGUGAAAGUAGGCUAUGAAGGAUUGUGGGUAAGGUGUGGAGGUAGGGUCAGGGUGUGGUAGGCUGUGUGGGGCUGCAGUGGAAGAUUUGGGUAAGUUGGAAGGCUGUGGUAGGCUGUGUGGGGGUGCAGUGGAAGUUGGGUAGGUUGUAAGGAUGUGGAGGAAGGUUUUGGGGUGUGGGCAGGCUGUAGAGGAAGGUUCAGGGGUGUGGGCAGGCUGUAGAGGAAGGUUCAGGGGUGUGGGCAGGCUGUAGAGGAAGGUUCAAGGGUGUGGGCAGGCUGUAGAGGAAGGUUCAGGGGUGUGGGCAGGCUGUAGAGGAAGGUUCAAGGGUGUGGGCAGG